GCAAAUGGACGGGUUGGAUAACUUGCAGGUGGGUCACUGUAACACGGGGUAUAUGGAGUGUGGAUAAAAUUUACAAAUAAAUUUUUGAGUUGUCAACAUCUUUAUUCAUACCCGUCCAAAGGCGGCGAGUUGUUAUGUAGGUUAUCCCCAAGGUCCUUAUUUAUUUUAUUUUAUUUUAUUUUAUUUUUUUAACUCCUAUACAUUUCAAAUGCAAAUCACGUAUAUAAAAUUUUAGAAAAACUUCAAAUAUCAUUCAUGUAGUUUCGCAUUUUUUUAUUUUAAUAUCUUGUGGUUUAAAGCGUAUCAAUUUAGUAUCCCGUGAUUUUAUUUUUCUAUUUUUAUUGUACCCUCCACGAAAUUUUUUUUGUUAAAUCAGUGACAAAAUUAAAACUAAUUAAGGAACUAAAAUAAAUAUUCGAUAAAUCUAUGUAGGGUAUCUGAAGUUUUUUGUAUAUAGUAGUACUAAAAUGAGAAAGUGUGAAACCACAGGAGUGAUAUUUGAAGUUUACCCUAAAAUUUUUAAAAGUAUAACGUAACUUUUUGUUUGAAGUACCAUAACAUACAAUAAAUAAUAUAAAGUCUUAAAGCGUAUAAAUUAUAUAAUAUAAAAAUACUUUAUUAUCCCAAAAUUUUAUGAUAUAAAAUUAAAGCUAAAUUACAGAAAACCUCCCUAUCAAUACCCACUUUUUCAGUUUCCCCCCCCUGUUAUUUAAAAAUCUACAUUUUGCUCCCUUGUAAAAUAAAAAAUAUUCACUUCGCUCCCUGUCGUAGUGCUCCGUUGGGGUUCCGUUUAUAAAAUAAUAUUAUAUAUUUUUUAUACCAAAAAUACCCUCAGUCUCCUCCUCAAUAGUGCCGCCUGAUGAGGGGCAAAUUGGUCAUUUUGUUAUUAUAGUUAACACCGUAAUCCCCUGUGAAUAUUUUUUAUUUCACAAGAGAGCAAAAUGUAGGUUUUUAAAAAACAGGAAGGGAAAGUGAUAAAGCAGAUAUUGACAAAGAAAAUUUAUGUAAUUUAGCCUAAAAUUAAUAAAAUUUUUAUUAUUAUAGAGUCAAUAUCAUAGAUAUUAUAUAUUUUUUAUUUUAAAAAAAAUAUAUGUGGGUACUCAUAUAUAUACUCCUAGGUUGCCCAAAAUAUUCACCAUUUAAUGGGUACCUACUUGUUUACCUGUAAUUUUUUAGAUAAAAAAAGUUAGUAUCCAUACUCAUAAAUAAAGCUGUCCAAAAUAUCCGAUAUCCCAUACCCGAUCUGGACCCUACCCGAACCCUACCCGAACCCCGAACCGGACCCGAUAAAAAGUGAAUAGUAUACGGAUAAAAAAAAUUACCCAUUAAAGUUUUGAGUAUGGGUCUGGAUAUUUUAUACCCAUACCCGAUCUGGACCCGACCUGAACCCAACUUUUAAAUAGGUAGGGUCCGGAAUAGUUUUCAAAUCCGGACCCGGACCCGGACCCGGUGAAAUAUCUGAUAGUAAAUAAAAAUAAAUAAACUUUUAAAGUUGAAGGAUUAAUUUUAAUAUGACUUAUAAAUGAUGGGCCAUUACGUAUUUUCAUCCUAAUGAAAACCUAGCGCUCUCUUUUACUCGUUUCUUUUGGUUGAUAUGAAUAAUUUUUAAAGGUAAACUUUUAAAAUCUCUUUAUUGAGUACUUUUAUGGUACAUUCUAAUAUAGUUUAUUUGACAGAUUCAACAUUUUUGUUGUUGAAAAUAUUGCAAAAAGAACCAAUCGACAAAGAGAAAAAUUUUGAUAACUAUUUUAUUGGUUAUUCUGACUAUUAUGUUAUUGUUCACUCAUAAAAAUUAAAAAACUUGAAACUUAUUUUUUCACUGUAAUGUUUCAUAUAUAUAUAUUUUAACUAUAUAAUAGUAAAUGCAUAUAUUUUGGACCAAUGUAUUAGGAUAUUUUAUUUUUUUUCUUUUGAAUGAAUUUUAUUGCAUAGUACAACUUAUUAAAACGUGAGUUUUUUAUAGGAGGCUUUAUAGUUUUUCCAUAAACUAUUUAAUAAAGUCUAUAAAAAAAAAUAUUUAUAUGGGUAUUCGUACCCGAUCUAGACCCGAUCCAUAUUCGGUGUUGAACAGAUAGUAUAUGGGUAGUCUCUAUCAAGACUGGCACAAAUAGACCCGAUAAGUAUAUUAGUAACUUAAGUAUCCAGAUCCGGAUCCGAUCCGAUCUACGGACACCUUUACUCAUAAAUUCAUAGGUAACUGAC
rnacentral:lncRNA from 1 species